rnacentral:lncRNA from 1 species
AUGUGUUUGAAUCUCGGCCCUAUCCCCAGACAUCAGCAGAAGGUGCUGGCUUCGCCACCUUCUCCAGGCUGCUCACAAACCCACCCAGAGCCUCAUCAGCGCUGCGAGCAGCGAGAUGCUGCUCCAUCCUGCUUGGGCACAGCGGCAGCAGCAGCUCCUGGCUGCCAGUGUUCAACAAGAGCUGCAAAGCAGAAAGUGUCAAGAGCUCAGCCACGAGGCUGGAAACCUUCCCCAGGUCCUUCUGCCUGCACGAGGCAGACUGCACCAACCACACAGCUCUGCAGGUGGAGGCUUGGGGAUCGGAGUCAGGAAGAGCCAGGGACUGGCUUCUGGGUUUCACUGCAGGGAUGGAAAUUAUCUAGAAUGUUUUUUUGUUUGUUUAGGUUUUUUUACCCUUUUUUUUUUUUCCAGGAGCACCUCCUUGACAUAAAACCCUGUGUCGAUUUUCCCACUGGCAGAAAACCAGACAGAUAUUUACUCUGGCCACAUGCCUCCUUGGCCAGACACGGCCACUGCCACUUCGCCACAUUAUCACGGCAGUGGGAGCACAGCCGAGCCACUGCCCCAGCAGCUCCUGUUGCCUCAAGCCCUGUGUUCCCUCGCUGGAUUAUCCUGUCCUGGCACACCUACGUGCGCAGGGGAUGUAGCAGUCCCCAUACCCUGAUGAAGAUGUUCCACCCCACGGCAACACAAGGGACGGUAAGCAGCAGUGGCGUGCAGAAACAAGAAUUUCUUAUUUCCCAGGGCAUUGGAGUAAAACAAUGCCCAACAGAGCAAAACAGAAACCCAGCUUCACUUCACCUUAGUGGCCAGGGCGUAUCUUGCCAAUGGCAGAGCAGGGAGGUAGUUACAGAGCAGAAGUCUGCUCAUACAGAGAUCAGUGAAGUUUCAUCCCGUCAUCUAACAGGGCACUGCAGCGCUUUGAGAUGGCAACAGGGAGAGUGGUGGGUAAGUCAACUCUCAGUUAUGGUUAAAAAAAAAAAGGAAAUUUUGCAUGAAGCUUACAAACUAUUGCAAAACCCUUGUGAAAACAUACGCGCACAAACCCACUGCAGGGCAUAA